rnacentral:misc_RNA from 1 species
UCCGGUUUGGCACCGGCAGUCUCCGAUGAGUCCCCGACAUUACUCGCUGGCAACAUCGGACAGGGGUUGCGCUCGUUGCGCCACUUAAGGCAACACCUCACGGCACGAGCUGACGACAGCCAUGCACCACCUGUGACGGUGCCCCGAAGGGAGACCGUGUUUCCACGGCUGUCACCGACAUGUCAAACCCAGGUAAGGUUCUUCGCGUUGCGUCGAAUUAAACCACAUGCUCCACCGCUUGUGCGGGCCCCCGUCAAUUCGUUUGAGUUUCAGCCUUGCGACCGUACUCCCCAGGCGGGGCACUUAGUGCGUUAGCGACGGCACGGGAGGAGUCGACACCUCCCACACCUAGUGCCCAUCGUUUACGGCGUGGACUAC